CACGGAGUUAGCCGAUCCUUAUUCUUACCGUACAUUCAGCCUGAUAUACAUAUCAGGGUUUAUUCCGGUACAAAAGCAGUUUACAACCCGUAGGGCCGUCUUCCUGCACGCGGCAUGGCUGGUUCAGGCUUGCGCCCAUUGACCAAUAUUCCUUACUGCUGCCUCCCGUAGGAGUCUGGUCCGUGUCUCAGUACCAGUGUGGGGGUCAUCCUCUCAGAUCCCCUAAACAUCGUAGCCUUGGUAAGCCAUUACCUUACCAACUAGCUAAUGUUCCGCAUGCCCAUCUUGAUCCUAUAAAUAUUUGAUUACCGAAAAAUGCUGUUCAGUAAUGUUAUGCGGUGUUAAUCUCUCUUUCGAGAGGCUAUCCCCCAGAUCAAGGUAGGUUACAUACGUGUUACGCACCCGUGCGCCACCCUCAUCAGGAGCAAGCUCCCAAACUCCCGUUCGACUUGCAUGUAUUAGGCCUGCCGCUAGCGUUCUAUCCUCGAGCCGACGGAGUACAAA
rnacentral:rRNA from 1 species